rnacentral:tRNA from 1 species
UAGCUCAGUCGGUUAGAGCGUCGUGCUAAUAACGCGAAGGUCGUAGGUUCGAUCCCUGN